rnacentral:rRNA from 1 species
GAUGAACGCUGGCGGCGUGCCUAAUACAUGCAAGUCGAGCGAACAGACGAGGAGCUUGCUCCUCUGACGUUAGCGGCGGACGGGUGAGUAACACGUGGAUGACCUACCUAUAAGACUGGGAUAACUUCGGGAAACCGGAGCUAAUACCGGAUAAUAUAUUGAACCGCAUGGUUCAAUAGUGAAAGACGGUUUUGCUGUCACUUAUAGAUGGAUCCGCGCCGCAUUAGCUAGUUGGUAAGGUAACGGCUUACCAAGGCAACGAUGCGUAGCCGACCUGAGAGGGUGAUCGGCCACACUGGAACUGAGACACGGUCCAGACUCCUACGGGAGGCAGCAGUAGGGAAUCUUCCGCAAUGGGCGAAAGCCUGACGGAGCAACGCCGCGUGAGUGAUGAAGGUCUUCGGAUCGUAAAACUCUGUUAUUAGGGAGGAACAAAUGUGUAAGUAACUAUGCACGUCUUGACGGUACCUAAUCAGAAAGCCACGGCUAACUACGUG